UCUCUGACGGAACUAUUUUAGUCUCCGAGACAGAACUCUCUCUCUCUAACUACAAAGGAUAUCUGAGUGGGUUUAAUAUAAAACGGGCAACUUGCGUGUGCUGCUCUUCAGGUUGGUCAGUUAUCCGUUGCACAAAAAUAGAUGGGUCAAGAUGCACAAGACAAGGGGCCUCCCGGGUGGCGCAAAAGACUGGAAGACUGCCUUGUAGAGGAGCACAGAUCUCAUGAACACGUCGACUAAACCGGACUCAGCGGAGAGAGAAACCAGGGGAUAAAAAAUAAAAUCUACAACGUUACUGAUUUUCUACUGAA